rnacentral:rRNA from 1 species
AGGUUACUGCUAUCGGUGUUCGCUUAAGCCAUGCGAGUCAUAUGUUCUUCGUGAACAUGGCGUACUGCUCAGUAACACGUGGAUAACCUGCCCUUGGGUCCGGCAUAACCCCGGGAAACUGGGGAUAAUUCCGGAUAACGCACAUAUGCUGGAAUGCUUUAUGCGUCAAAUGGAUUCGUCCGCCCAAGGAUGGGUCUGCGGCCUAUCAGGUAGUAGUGGGUGUAAUGUACCUACUAGCCUACGACGGGUACGGGUUGUGAGAGCAAGAGCCCGGAGAUGGAUUCUGAGACAUGAAUCCAGGCCCUACGGGGCGCAGCAGGCGCGAAAACUUUACAAUGCGGGAAACCGUGAUAAGGGGACACCGAGUGCCAGCAUCAUAUGCUGGCUGUCCGGGUGUGUAAAAUACACCUGUUAGCAAGGGCCGGGCAAGACCGGUGCCAGCCGCCGCGGUAACACCGGCGGCCCGAGUGGUGAUCGUGAUUAUUGGGUCUAAAGGGUCCGUAGCCGGUUUGGUCAGUCCUCCGGGAAAUCUGACGGCUUAACCGUUAGGCUUUCGGGGGAUACUGCCAGACUUGGAGCCGGGAGAGGUAAGAGGUACUACAGGGGUAGGAGUGAAAUCUUGUAAUCCCUGUGGGACCACCUGUGGCGAAGGCGUCUUACCAGAACGGGUUCGACGGUGAGGGACGAAAGCUGGGGGCACGAACCGGAUUAGAUACCCGGGUAGUCCCAGCCGUAAACGAUGCUCGCUAGGUGUCAGGCAUGGCGCGACCGUGUCUGGUGCCGCAGGGAAGCCGUGAAGCGAGCCACCUGGGAAGUACGGCCGCAAGGCUGAAAC